rnacentral:rRNA from 1 species
AUUGAACGCUGGCGGCAGGCCUAACACAUGCAAGUCGAACGAGUGGCGGACGGGUGAGUAAGGUAUGGGAAACUGUGCGUUGGAGAGGGAUAAAUCCUGGAAAAGGUAUGGAAACCCGCAUACCAUAGGAUGUGCGCAGAUGGGAUUAGCUUGUAGGGGGGGUAACGGCUCACCUAGGCGACGGACCCUAGCUGGUCUGAGAGGGUGAGCAGCCACACUGGAACUGAGACACGGUCCAGACUCCUACGGGAGGCAGCAGUGGGGAAUAUUGCACAAUGGACGCAAGCCUGAUGCAGCCAUGCCGCGUGUGUGAAGAAGGCCUUCGGGUUGUAAAGUUCUUUUGUCAGGGAGGCGUUACCCGCAGAGGAAGCACCGGCUAACUCCGUGCCAGCAGCCGCGGUAAUAC